GACGAACGCUGGCGGCGUGCUUAACACAUGCAAGUCGAACGGUGAAGCUCCAGCUUGCUGGAGUGGAUCAGUGGCGAACGGGUGAGUAACACGUGAGCAACCUGCCCCUGACUCUGGAAUAAGCGCUGGAAACGGCGUCUAAUACUGGAUACGAGAAGGGUCCGCAUGGGCACUUUCUGGAAAGUUUUUCGGUUGGGGAAGGGCUCGCGGCCUAUCAGCUUGUUGGUGAGGUAAUGGCUCACCAAGGCGACGACGGGUAGCCGGCCUGAGAGGGCGACCGGCCACACUGGGACUGAGACACGGCCCAGACUCCUACGGGAGGCAGCAGUGGGGAAUAUUGCACAAUGGGCGAAAGCCUGAUGCAGCGACGCCGCGUGAGGGAUGACGGCCUUCGGGUUGUAAACCUCUUUCAGCAGGGAAGAAGCGAAAGUGACGGUACCUGCAGAAGAAGCACCGGCUAACUACGUG
rnacentral:rRNA from 1 species